UACGUGAGGGGGAAGUGAAUAUUAUUGGGUUAACAGUUAAAUUUAUUAUUCCUUUAAUUCUAAAAUUUUUGGGUGAAAUUUUAAUUUUAUUUUAAUAGGUUUAUAUGAAGCUGUGAAAUUUAUUUUAAAAACAAGGAUUAGAUACCCUUUUAUUUUAAAUGUAAAUAUUAACCUGGGUAGUAAUAGUUAUGUUCUUGAAACCCAAAGAAUUUGGCGGUAUUUUAUUCUUUUUAGAGGAACCUGUCCUGUAAUUGAUAGUCCACGAUAGAUAAUUACUUAUUUUUGUAUUCAUUUUGUAUACCUCCGUCAUCAGGAUAUCUUUUUAGAGUUAAUGUCCAGAUAAUAUAAAUUAUAAUAUGUCAGGUCAAGGUGCAAUUUAUAGAUAAGUAGAGAUGGGUUACAAUAAAUUUAUUUAUACGGAUUUAUAUUAUUAUUUAAUAUAAUGAAGGUGGAUUUAAAAGUAAAACUAAUUCUUUAUUAGUUUGACUUUAGCUCUAAAAUAUGCACACAUCGCCCGUCGCUCUUAUUUUAAAAUAAG
rnacentral:rRNA from 1 species